AGCGAACGCUGGCGGCAGGCUUAACACAUGCAAGUCGAGCGGGCACUUUCGGGUGUCAGCGGCGGACGGGUGAGUAACGCGUGGGAACGUGCCCUCUGGUUCGGAAUAACUCAGGGAAACUUGAGCUAAUACCGGAUACGCCCUUUUGGGGAAAGGCUUGCUGCCGGAGGAUCGGCCCGCGUCUGAUUAGCUAGUUGUCGUGGUAACGGCUCACCAAGGCGACGAUCAGUAGCUGGUCUGAGAGGAUGCUCAGCCACACUGGGAGUGAGACACGGCCCAGACUCCUACGGGAUGCAGCAGUGGGGAAUAUUGGACAAUGGGCGCAAGCAUGAUCCAGCCAUGCCGGGUGAGUGAUGAAGGCCUUAGGGUUGUAAAGCGCUUUUAUCCGGGACGAUAAUGACGGUACCGGAGGAAUAAGCCCCGGCUAACUUCGUG
rnacentral:rRNA from 1 species